CAGCCGCCGCGGUAAUACGGAGGGCGCGAGCGUUGUCCGGAUUCACUGGGCGUAAAGCGGGUGUAGGCGGUCGGGUAAGUCGGACGUGAAAGCCCGGGGCUCAACCCCGGAAGGGCGUCCGAAACUGCUCGACUUGAGGGCGGGAGAGGGAGGUGGAAUUCCCGGUGUAGCGGUGAAAUGCGUAGAUAUCGGGAGGAACAGCAGUGGCGAAGGCGGCCUCCUGGCCCGUUCCUGACGCUGAGACCCGAAAGCGUGGGGAGCAACCCGGAUUAGAUACCCGGUUAGUCCACGCCGUAAACGGUGGGCACUAGGUGUGGGGGGUUAAUCCCUCCGUGCCGAUGCUAACGCAUUAAGUGCCCCGCCUGGGGAGUACGGCCGCAAGGUUGAACCUUAAAGGAAUUGGCGGG
rnacentral:rRNA from 1 species